rnacentral:lncRNA from 1 species
CCCAAGCUCCUGCUGUUGAAUCAGGGGCAGGGAGGGCAGGAGUGCAGUGCUGCCCCGACAGACUGUGCUUGUAGCCCAGGCUAGCCCAGAGGCUUGUGUUUCCCCUGGGGACCCUUCCUGACAGCCACUCCUCGCCGCCAGUGAGUGAUGUUUCAUAGUGGGUCUUGUGUCUCUAGAUAAAGCACUCCAAGUGGCCCACGGCUCACAUUUACCUGUGAUGUUACCUUUUACAAAGCUCUUCUAGUCCCAUUUUCUCACCUGAACAAGGUCAGUGAGAAAGUGGAGGCCCAGCCCCGAGGCCUCAGCCUGCUGAGGUCACCCCUGCACCCCGCACCCCCCUGCAUUCCCCUUCCAGAGGGAUCACCUGGCCCAGAACAGCAUUUCGUGGCAUUAAAUUGUAUGGGCAACCACACUUUCCAUGUGCACGCCACACUGGGCUCCAGCCUCCCUCUGCCUUGUGGCAUUUUGAUUGGCAGGGUUCUUUUUUUUUUUUUUCUUUGAGAUGGAGUUUCGCUCUUGUUGCCCAGGCUGGAGUGCAAUGGCAUGAUCUUGGCUCACCACAACCUCGGCCUCCCAGGUUCAAGCUAUUCUCUUGCCUCAGCCUCCUGAGUAGCUGGGAUUAUAGGUAUGCACCACCACACCCGGCUAAUUUUGCAUUUUCAAUAGAGACAGGGUUUCUCCAUGUUGGUCAGGCUGGUCUCGAACUCCCGACUGCAGGUAAUCCGCCUGCCUCGGCCUCCCAAAGUGCUGAGAUUACAGGAGUGAGCCACCGUGCCUGGCCCUGGCAGGGUUCUUUCUAGCCGGACUCAGAGGGUGUACUUUGUGGGCCUUGGAAGGACCCUCUGGGGUCAGCAUCUGAGUAAGUCAGCAGCCCCGUCGUGAACUCAGGGCAACCCCUCUCUCAUCACACAGCUAGGAAAGCCCUGCCUGAUGGGCACUUGACAUCAGACCUUAGCAGCUGCCUCCUGAUCCCUGCCCAGGCCUGUGCCAGGCAGGGACUCGCAGGGAACAGGCAGUCCAGCAAACUCUUAAAAUGACAGGCUGCCAGGCACGUGCUCAUCAGUGUGACCUGUUCUAAGAUGACCCAGGGCCGCCAGCUCACAUGCCCACUUUUGAAGGCCAAGUUUAGGGAGAGCCCGGGAAGGUUCCCAGUUGGCGGAGAGGCAGAUUCCUGUCCAGCUGACCACAGCCCAGCGGGAAAGCCAGGGCAAGCCUUGGCUGGGCCUACAGAGGGCCGAGGCAGCAGACACAGAAUGGGAAGUAGGCUUUCUCCCAGGCAGAGAAGGAAAAUAUUACUAUUUUCCCUUCUGGGCUGUCAUCGUGCGCAGGUCUUUCUGCUCUGGCCGGGAUGGGGACCUGCACCGGUUUGGCUCUGAAGCCCCCCUCCUCUGUUAUUCCCACCUGCCCACCCAGUUAUCCUUCCUGGGCCUCUGGACAGUUCUCCAGUCAUGGUGGGCCCGUGGGCAGGACUUGGUCAUUGGGCAAGGCUUGUCAACUGUGUGGGUGGUGGCCUCACCGCCCCACUGCCCUGGAAAGGAGAGCAGACUCCUUGCCGUCCCCCUCAGGGAACCUGGAGAGAUCAGCUUGGCUCUUGGCUUUCAGCCAUGAGAGAGAAACAGGGUAUGGGGUUCACACGAUUCCUGAGCAUCUCUGGUGGGCCCAGCAGCCUCUCCCGACCCGUUCCCCACAGGCCACCUGUCCCUGGUUGCGUCUUCCUGCCCUGGUGGCAGUUCCCCCAACACCCAUGCCCCAGCUCCUAAGGACUGGGCUAUGAAGGGCUAUGAGGGGCCCUGCCAGUGGGGAGCCAGGAUGGGAAAGGGGAUGAGUGUUCCAUGCAUUGCAUGGCAUGCCAGACAUUCUGCAUGCACCUCCCCUGCCCCCACUCUGCAGGCUUACGCAUGGGGAGACCAAGGCUGAGGGGCUCAGGAUCCCAACUGAAAAGGAUACAAGCCCAUGCCAUUCUUGAUUCCAGAGCCCGCUACAC